rnacentral:rRNA from 1 species
AACGAACGCUGGCGGCAGGCCUAAUACACGCAAGUCGAACGCUCCAGCAAUGGAGAGUGGCAGACGGGUGAGUAACGCGUGGGAACCUUCCCAGUGGUACGGAAUAGCUCAGGGAAACUUGAGGUAAUACCGUAUACGCCCUUCGGGGGAAAGAUUUAUCGCCAUUGGAUGGGCCCGCGUCGGAUUAGCUAGUUGGUGGGGUAAUGGCCCACCAAGGCGACGAUCCGUAGCUGGUCUGAGAGGAUGAUCAGCCACACUGGGACUGAGACACGGCCCAGACUCCUACGGGAGGCAGCAGUAGGGAAUAUUGGACAAUGGGCGAAAGCCUGAUCCAGCCAUGCCGCGUGAGUGACGAAGGCCUUCGGGUUGUAAAGCUCUUUUGGCGGGGACGAUAAUGACGGCACCCGCAGAAUAAGCUCCGGCUAACUUCGUGCCAGCCGCCGCCGUAA